rnacentral:rRNA from 1 species
UACGGAGGGGGCUAGCGUUGGUCGGAAUUACGGGGCGUAAAGCGCACGUAGGCGGCUUUGCAAGGUAGAGGUGAAAGCCCGGGGCUCAACUCCGGAAUUGCCUUUAAAACUGCAUCGCUAGAAUUGUGGAGAGGUAAGUGGAAUUCCGAGUGUAGAGGUGAAAUUCGUAGAUAUUCGGAAGAACACCAGUGGCGAAGGCGACUUACUGGACACAUAUUGACGCUGAGGUGCGAAAGCGUGGGGAGCAAACAGG